UUGAUUUUUUUUUUUUUUUUUUUUUUUUUUUUUUUUUUUUUUUAAGGCUGUAAUUACACUUUUGGUCAUCAAACUAUGAAGUGAAUGACGCUUUCAUCCUCAUUCUUUAAUUUGUUGUGAUUUUUUACUUAAACUUUCUAAUCAUUUUAAUUAUUUUUCACAAUCUAAUUUAAUUGACUAAAUAAUAAUGUAUCGCUAAUAUGAAAGUGAUAUAGCAGUGUUAUGAUUAUGAUGCCACAAUAAUUAAGAUGCCAUAUUACUUCUAUAUCAGUGGCACUCCAAUAUCUUGUUAACUAAAUUAGAUUGUGUGAUUUUAUUGUAAUAAUUUAUAAAAUUCGAGCCAAACGUUACAAUAAAUAAAAAUUUAGGAAUCAAAGUGUCACGUAUGCCAUAGUCUGAUACGUACCAUGAACUUUUCGGAAAAAAC
rnacentral:lncRNA from 1 species